rnacentral:rRNA from 1 species
UGAAUGGCCGCGGUAUUUUAACCGUGCUAAGGUAGCAUAAUCAUUUGUCUUUUAAUUAAGGGCUGGAAUGAAGGGUUGAACGAGGUACUGGCUUUCUUUAAUUCAGUUAGUUGAAUUUAACUUUUAAGCUAAAAGGCUUAAAUUUAUUUGUUGGACGAGAAGACCCUAUAGAUCUUUACAUUUAUAGUUAUUGUAAUAUUUAGUGAUUAAUUCUUUGCAAUUAUUGGAGGUGUUUGAUUGGGGUGAUUAAGGAAUAAUAAUAACUUCUUUUGAUUAAUUUCAUUGAUUGUUGUUUGGGUGAUCCAUUAUUAGUGAUUAAAAGAUUAAGUUACCUUAGGGAUAACAGCGUAAUUUUUUCGGAGAGUUCAUAUCGAUGAAGGAGUUUGCGACCUCGAUGUUGGAUUAAAAUAAGUUUUGAGUGCAGUAGCUCAAUGACUAGGUCUGUUCGACCUUUUAUUUUUUACAUGAUCUGAGUUCAGACCGGCGUGAGCCAGGUCAGUUUCUAUCUUUAAUUUAAUUAUGUAUAUUAGUACGAAAGGACCAUAUAUAUGGAGUAUCUCUUGCUUAUUUGUUUAAUAUU